GACGAACGCUGGCGGCGUGCUUAACACAUGCAAGUCGAGCGGUAAGGCCCUUUCGGGGGUACACGAGCGGCGAACGGGUGAGUAACACGUGGGUGACCUGCCCUCAGCUCUGGGAUAAGCCUGGGAAACCGGGUCUAAUACUGGAUAUGACUCCAUGACGCAUGUUGUGGGGUGGAAAGCCUUGUGCGGCUGAGGAUGGGCCCGCGGCCUAUCAGCUUGUUGGUGGGGUGAUGGCCUACCAAGGCGACGACGGGUAGCCGGCCUGAGAGGGCGACCGGCCACACUGGGACUGAGACACGGCCCAGACUCCUACGGGAGGCAGCAGUGGGGAAUCUUGCGCAAUGGGCGAAAGCCUGACGCAGCGACGCCGCGUGAGGGAUGAAGGUCUUCGGAUUGUAAACCUCUGU
rnacentral:rRNA from 1 species